CCGACCUUAGCUCAGUUGGAAGAGCACAAGACUGUAAUUGGCUGUCUGGCCGCACUUGGUCAUCUUGGGGUCGCCUGUUCGAACCAGGCAGGUCGGA